rnacentral:rRNA from 1 species
UACAGAGGGUGCGAGCGUUGUCCGGAAUCACUGGGCGUAAAGGGUGCGUAGGCGGCGCGGUAAGUCGGGUGUGAAAUCUCGGAGCUUAACUCCGAAACUGCAUUCGAUACUGCCGUGCUUGAGGACUGGAGAGGAGACUGGAAUUUACGGUGUAGCGGUGAAAUGCGUAGAUAUCGUAAGGAAGACCAGUGGCGAAGGCGGGUCUCUGGACAGUUCCUGACGCUGAGGCACGAAGGUCAGGGGGAGCAAAACGGG